UUGAUUAUUUAUCGGACAUAUAGGAGAAGGAACAGUCUGCAUUGCGUGCUCACAGCAGCUCCGUUAGAGGUAGAAGGCAGGAAAAUAUUCCUGAAGACAAUGUUCCCAAGGCUGGAAAUUUUCAACCUUUUAUCAAAGAAGAAGUCCUAGUUGAUAUAUACAAUGAUGUUUUCCCAUGCAAUGCUGAGCAGUUCUUUAAUGUAUUUCUGGCUGAUGAUUCAAAUUUUCUUCAUGAAUAUCGGUCGGCACGCAAAGACUCUAAUCUUAAUUUGGGCCAGUGGCAUACUCCAGAUGAAUAUGAUGGCCAGGUCAGAGAAAUUACAUUCAGAUCUGUGUGCAACAGUCCCAUGUGUCCACCAGACACGGCCAUGACUGAGUGGCAGCAUGCUGUUUUCUCAGCUGAUAAAAGAACUCUGGUGUUUGAGACUGUACAACAGGCACAUGAUGUUCCAUUUGGGUCUUACUUUGAGGUAUUAAACAGUAUACAAGUUUGAACAUGCUUUCUUGGAUAAAUUUAUACUUCAUAUGUUCUCUCCUGUUUGGAAAUUGAGAUUCUAAGAUAACUAGCUGCAAAAGUGAAUCACAUUCU